AUUAUGCAACCAGUCAGGCCAGACACCCGCGCAACGCGUACGUCAAGCAACAUGGCGGGAAGUUCAAAUUAAGAGCUCGUGGGGUAGGUGAAAUUAAGAAUAUAGCUGUAAAAUGACUGUUUAUUGCGAUUCAGAGGCGUGUUUUAGACUGACUAGACUACGAAGAAAACCAAGUUUGCAUGCACGGUUGCCAAAGAGGAAAGAGGAUCCAAGAAGAAUACAACACAGUCUAUGGAGGUAACACUUUAAAACGACGCUGUAAAUUUUAAAUAAAGGUGUACGGGAAUUCACAUCACGUUGGCAGUAUCGUGCGCAUGUGCAAGAAUUCCUGACCAAUCCCGAUUUCUGCCUUUUGAAUCCUGAACCCUGAUAGUUGGAAGUGGAAUAGGACAUCACCAAUUAACCAUGCAGCCUGGUUAGCUAGGAAUGGAGCAGCUUUUCAUCAGGAUGGGGUGACGGGUCUGGUGGAUAGCAAUUAGGAGAACAUUGCUUGGAAGGCAUCCACAUGCCGUUAUCUUAUGGUGAGAUGAGGUGUGGCGUCAUCGUUGUAUGGCCAAAUUGAUAUCCUACUUGAGAGGACCUAGUUUCACCAAGAAAAGGAUUAGGAUGUGGAUGGUGAACAGGACUGUGAUCGACGAAUGUACCCCGCUGACACCUUGGUUAGAAACUACACCCGACGCAGUCUCAUCAUGGAGAGGGGUGAUCAAUUAAGCCAAGGGAUCCAGUCGGUCUGCCGCCGGUCUUUCGCCGGCCCAAACCCAGGGACUUUAAAGGUCAAGUCCACGGCCCAUCCCAGAAAAAUGUUGAUCAAACAAGCAUAACGCUGAAAAUCUCAUCAAAAUCGGAUAUAAAAUAAGCAAGUUUUGACAUUAAAAGCUUUGCUCAUUUUUCACAAAACAGUUCUAUUCACAACUCAGUGACAUGCAAAUGAGAGAGUUAAUGAUGUCUUUCCUCACUAUUUCUUUUUUGUUAUUGUUUGAAUUAUACAAAAUUGCAAUUUUAAUAGAUUUGAAAAUAAGGUCCAACCUGACUGAACCAUAAAAUGAUGGUAAUAAACCAUGGUUCACAUGUUCAGGGAGGAAUAAACUUUGUUUUACAGGACAAUGAGGGGGAAAUUAAAACAUUUCCUACAAUAAAAUACAUAAGAAAUAGUGGUUGGGUGAUGUCAUCACUCCCCUCAUUUGCAUACCGACCAGGAUGUGCAUAUAACUGUUCUGCGGAAAUUUAGCGAAACUUGUAAAUAAUUGUAAUAAUGUAAUAAUUAAGCUCCUUAUUUUUAUAUCCGACUUUUAUGAAAUUUUUAGUGUUAUGCUUGUUGGAUUUUUCAUUUUUUCAUUCAAAUCCACUUUUGUUGGGGUGGACUUGUCCUUUGAACGUCACGAUGACAGGAAUGUUUCGUGGACGUAAAAUAUGAAUGGAAGAGAACGAAACAGGUCGAUCAAUAUCGUUUACCUACCAUGCAUGCGGCAACGUUACUUUUCUCCAUGUUUUAUUUUUUAUGGCGAUAGUCAGAAAAAAUCUGGAAUGUUGGAUAUGUAUCUUAUGAAUCACCUGUAUGUGGAAACUCACUGAGUUCUGUUUUAGUAUUUAGCGCCCUUGGUGAUAUUCCCAUGUUGUAACGCAAAAUCUUUAUAGUCUAAAGGAGAAGGUGGUAUUCGGUCUGUUAAAUUAUGCCAAACUUAAAUCAUGAAGAUUGUUAAAGGCUUAUUUUGGAUUUCAGGGGAAACACGACGUUGUCCAUGGUGAUCCCCUUAGGAAUAGUAAUAUUGACGAUGAAUUCUUCAAAAUUACGUGUUUAGAGACUUCAAAGGGCAGUGUUUGGUAAAGCUCGGUCACUUUGCUUUCUCGCAGGUUUCCUAUGUAAAAAGCAUAAUUCUACGCCUGUCUUUGUUCUAAAUCUGCUUUCUUAUACAUGUAGCCAUGAUUUAUAGGGUUCAGUGUCUGCAACAUUCGUGCUUAAAAACAUACAGUAGUUUGAUACAAAUGUUCCCUAGGGUGGCAAUUCAGGAGGGAGUAGCAGAAAAUGCAGAGUAGAAAAUAAAAAGAGAGAGAAAAAAAAUCAGAAUCUGUUAUAAUUCAAAUGGAAAUGCAACAGAAAUGCAACUUGGGGUUUAACCUUCCACAUUUAUUUUUUAAUUUUUUUUGUUCAUUCGCUUCACUCUCUCGGGUAAAAAUUGCAAGAAACUUGGUUUAAAUUGGUUUUGACCACGCUUGGUCGCUACUUUCCUUGUUUAUGUGAGAAAGGGGUACAUGGCUUGACCGUCACUUACAUGUAUCAAGUGCGUGAAAGAAGGCAUUUUUUUUUCGAAGUGAAAAUAGGAAAUCUUAAUCCUAUAAGGAAAAUUAUAUGGAUAACGCUUCCCCUUGUGGCAUAUAUAGGACAAAAAUACAUGUACGCCACCUACAUGUAUCUCCAUUCCUUGUACACUUGUACUAAUUGGAAUAUAUAUACUCGUUUUUCAUUUCUUUAAUAAUUUUGGAUGACCAAGUCAGCAACAGGAUCGCAUCUAACUUUUACGUUGAUUUUUAGUAGUUUGUGUCUAGCCACCAAAUUAUUAAUCAAGUCGAUAUUGAAAUAACAUAUCAUUUCAUAUUCCUGCCUUCAGGCCUGUAAAUGAAAUGUACAUCAUAAAUACAAGCCUGAAGGUAUUGGCUGUGACUUGUAAAUGAUCUUAAAUGAGUGGUAUUCUUAUAGCCAUGGUAUAGUUAACCCUAUUUAACUUAGAAUACACUUUUAUGGAGCGCCACUGUUGUUAACCCACUCACCAUGUGAAAAAUAUUUCAAUCCUACAGCAAUCCUAUGAGAAGAAUUGGAAUAUACGAAUAUAUUAUGAUCUUUAAUUUGAUAAUUGUUAUCUUUGCCAUGAAUAUGGAAGGAGUAUUAUUAAACCAAGUAUUUCAUAGAAGUGUAAUCUAAAAUUCUACCUAAGAUCCUAAUCUUAAGUAUAUAGAAUCUUUAUUAAUCUUAAGUUAAACCUAGGUUUUAUUGAGUUUCUUUCAUAGUUUGAUUUUAUUAGGCGUAUUCAUAGGUAAACAAACAUGUACAGUGCGAAUAAAGAGAUAAAUAGAUAACUAAAUAAGUGGGGGGAAACAACAAAUGUAUAUGACUUGGAUUGAAUCUUUUGAUAUAGCCCUCCGCUAAUAUGGUUGCUCUUUUUGGACCAGUAAUUUACAUUUCGUAUUGUUUUGGUGUGUUUAUCUUUUGGAAGGUGAUCAUCUUCAUUUACCAUACAUUUUUACUUAGUUGAUUCAGAAGUAAUAUGCAGAAGCAUAGAACAUUAAUAGGCCCAUAGCUUCCCUCUCUGCGAUGAAAAUUCAAACAGAAAAUGAACUCUGUGAUUAGGAUAAAUUUCGAUAGGCCUUGCUUUUUUUUAUAUCUAUAUAUUUCUUCCCUCGGGACUGGGUAGCGAUGUAUUACUGAAAUCUUUUUAAAGUCCACUUUGCCUACAUUUUUUGCACCAUUGUUUGGUAAUUUUGGUAAACUUUAAGGGCACCGAAAAUAAGAUUUACGAAGUAAUAUUGUGCGUAUAAGUGGAAAAGUGAAAAAUAAAGCUAUAAUUGUAUGCUUUCAAUAAGCCAGUUCGGAGUUCCAUUCUGCGCAUGAUCAGAAGGAGGUCAUUUGUCCUGAAGUGACAUGGUGGUUUAACAUUCAAUGAGAUAAGCGCCAACUUUGAUGUAUUGAUUAUUCAUCUAUUCUUUUGAAUUGUGUUUUUCCAUUAGAUCCAGAAAAAAACAUCAAUGCGUCCACUAGCGAGUGGUAUUUCACAGUUGGCCAAGUACAUUGUUAUAGCAACAUGCUAAUGCAUUCAAAGUAGAAUUGCAACAAAUACCUUCAUACAGUGUUUGUUAGGUUUUAUAUGCUAUGUAAGGCAUGCUUACAUAAUUUGCCUAUCAUAAUGAAGAAAUGAAAGGUUAUUUGACAAAAAUUGCCCAUGAGGUAACUCCGAACUGGUCUAUUAUUUCUGGUAUCUCCCUAACCCUAUUAAUAAGGUAUGGUAGAUCAUCUGAAGUACGCUUUCCACUUGGUAAAUCUGAACUCAAGUUCUUCUGUAAAUGUCAUUUUAAUAGAAUUUGUUAUUUUGCCUGUACAGUUGUUGAUUAAAUUAUCGUUUUCAUUGGCUACCGCACACCUUUCGAUAGGUCUGCGACCCGAUUUUGGAAUAUCUAAUCGUGAUGACGUCAUAGCAAAGCGGACGAUCGGCAGCGAUUUGAAGCCAGUUUGGCCUUUUCUCCAAAUAAAGGAUUGCAGUAAUCCAAAAAUUCGGAUUUUGAUAUUAUCACAGUUAAUUUGAAUAACAUAUGAAAAUAAUUUAUUCACUUUUAUUUUCAACAAAGUCAGGUCAUAACGACCAGUCGUAAGGUGUGCGGUGGCCAUUACAA